rnacentral:rRNA from 1 species
CCUACGGGAGGCAGCAGUAGGGAAUAUUGGGCAAUGGGCGCAAGCCUGACCCAGCGACGCCGCGUGAGGGAUGAAGGUCUUCGGAUUGUAAACCUCUUUCAGUAGGGAAGAAGCGAAAGUGACGGUACCUAAAGAAGAAGCACCGGCUAACUAUGUGCCAGCAGCCGCGGUAAUACAUAGGGUGCAAGCGUUGUCCGGAAUUAUUGGGCGUAAAGAGCUCGUAGGUCGUUUGUCGCGUCGAUUGUGAAAAUCUGAGGCUCAACCUCAGACCUGCAGUCGAUACGGGCAAACUAGAGUGUGGUAGGGGAGACUGGAAUUCCUGGUGUAGCGGUGGAAUGCGCAGAUAUCAGGAGGAACACCAAUGGCGAAGGCAGGUCUCUGGGCCAUAACUGACACUGAGGAGCGAAAGUGCGGGGAGCGAACAGGAUUAGAUACCCUGGUAGUCCGCACCGUAAACGGUGGGCACUAGUUGUGGGAACCUUCCACGGUUUCCGCGACGCAGCAAACGCAUUAAGUGCCCCGCCUGGGGAGUACGAUCGCAAGAUUAAAACUCAAAGGAAUUGACGG